AAUGGGCUGGACUUUACUUUACGGACAGUGAUCGAUUUUGUUCGUAAUUUUUUUAUAGAUGCAGUUUUUCAUGAGAAAUCGUUUGGUACUAGUCUCAACUCCGGCAAGCUCGUAGUUUAGGAGAUAUUAAUUUUUGAAAAUUGCAUUUUUUCCAUAUAAUUUGACAAGUUCGAUGGAUUUUCCUAGGUUAUAUCCGUCAAAACCACAGAAUAUCAAUGUUUUUUUGUGUUGUUUCUAUGGUUAAUAUAAUUUCAGGAAACUUUUUAUUUGAACUGUAUAAUUUUGCGAAAAAUGUUUGGAUGGAAAUAAAACUGAACUAAAUAUUAUUUAUCAAUCUUCCAAUUUAUUAAAACUGAAAGAUUUUAAGGUUAGGUUAGGUUAGUUUAGGUUAGUACAAAUUUUUAAAUUUUUUUCAAUUUUAACGAUAUAAUUUUGCGAAAAAUGUGCGAACUGAAAUAAAACUGAAUAAUUUCAAGGUUAGGUUAGGUUAGAUUGAGUUAGGACAGUGAAAAAAUAAUUUCUCACAUGAAAAUUCGAUAUAAUUUGGCGAAAAAUGUGCGUACUGAAAUAAAACUGAAUAAUUUCAAGGUUAGGUUAGGUUAGAUUGAGUCUAUUCAGUUAUUUAAUUGUUGAACAUAACUAAUGCUUUGUAGGAAUAUUAUGAUAUCUCACGCUUUUGGAUGAAAUUUUGAGAAUCAUGAACUAAAACUUUCAAAUUUACAGUUUGCUAAGAUAUAAAUUCGUAUCAAUUGAUUUUCUUUCACCUACUGCAGUAAAAAAAAUUGUCAAUAAAAUCGGAGGUGAACCUUCAUGUCUUAGAAUGACUUGAUUUUCUUUCCAUUAUUUGAAAUUCGAAUUUCCUAAAAUUUGAAUUAUAGAAACCAUAGAAACAACACAAAAAACUAAUGAUAUUCUGUGGUUUUGACGGAUAUAACCUAGAAAAAUCCAUCGAACUUGUCAAAAUAUAUGGGAAAAAUGCAAUUUUCAAAAAUUAAUAUCUCCUAAACUACGAGCUUGCCGGAGUUGAGACUAGUACCAAACGAUUUCUUAUGAAAAACUGCAUCUAUGAAAAAAUUACGAACAAAAUCGAUCACUGUCCGUAAAGUAAAGUUCUACCUAUACAAUACUCACUCAUCACAGGCAUUAUGUAUCUUCUCUUCAAUGUCCAUUAUUUUUGUCUACUCAUUAAUCUCAUUC